rnacentral:rRNA from 1 species
AUUGAACGCUGGCGGCAGGCCUAACACAUGCAAGUAGAGCGAGCGGCGGACGGGUGAGUAAUGUGUGGGAAACUGGCUGAUGGAGGGGGAUAACUAAUGGAAAAGGUAGCUAAUACCGCAAACAGUCAGACGUGCCGAGAGGGGAUUAGCUAGUAGGUGGGGUAAUGGCUCCACUAGGCGACGAGCCCUCGCUGGUCUGAGAGGAUGACCAGCCACACUGGACUUUUGACACGCUCCAGCUUCCGACGGUAGGCAGCAGUGGGGAAUAUUGCACAAUGGGCGCAAUCCUGAUGCAGCCAUGCCGCGUGUGUGAAGAGGGCCUUCGGGUUGUAAAGCACUUUCAGCGGGGAGGCGUUACCCGCAGAAGAAGCACCGGCUAACUCCGUGCCAGCCGCCGCGGUAAUUC